GGGACCUGCGCAGGUGGCGUCGCCCGGCGUUGUCUCCGGAGUCGAUUCCGGCCGGGGCACCUCCCCGGGCGACCAGGCCCCUUCUUGAUCAUCGCUGGUACGGAUGAGAGCGGCAGUGGGCAUUUGGAAAGCACCUGGGGCCGCGCCCGGGCGCAGUGCCCCCGUGUGGCCUCCCACCCCGGGCGGGCAGGACGAUUCCUGCCCAUUUGGAAGACCAGGAACCUGCGCGUUCACAGGGUUCGGAAGCCCGGGCUGCGCCUUCCCGCGGGGCCGGCUGCCGGGCUGGGGGCUCUUCCCGCCUCUGCAUGCACAGAGCCCGCGGUGCACGAACCUGCUCCCCGCCAGCCCCGCGGACUGGCAGAGCCGCUCUGGAGUCACCCGCGCCCGCUCCGCAGUGCGCAAACUCACUUCGCAGCGGGCUCUCCGGGGGCCAGCCCUUCCCUCCUGGGCGGGCAUUUUCACCUCCAGGUACAAAGGGGUGGUCCCCAGAGGAGGACUCGGGGCUUAAGGAGAAGCUGAGGCCCGGUCCUCUGGCCUCAACGACUGCACAUUCUCGCCGCCUGCUUCACUUCUUAGAGCCUUGGAGUGGACUGCCGAACUCUGAGAGGGAGGGCCACUGGCAGCGAUGGACGAAUGGCCCAUGGCAGGAGUGCUGGUGUCCUCGAAGCAGGCAGCCCGGAAGCACUGGCCCCUUCAUGGCCAGCCCAGAGCUUUGGGGCGCAGCGGAUUCCGAUGGCAGUUGAUUCGGGAAGGUGGAGGAAGCCGAGGGACGGGGCAAUGCCCAGGACCCAGGGUUUCCCGGAGCUGCUGACCAGAUU
rnacentral:antisense_RNA from 1 species